UUCCAGGAGCACACAAGCAUGCUUGGUUUUCCCAGUGGCAGAACUCAGACGGAUCAGCCAGUAUAUGAAGUUGAAUCUGUGUAUUAACUUACAGACAGAUAAAAGUGGAACAGAGGUAUUCUGUGACUAAAAGGUUUGAUAGUCAUCAGGUUUGUCCAGUAUUUCCAACUUCAUAUAGCCUACUGCAAAUUAUUUUUUAUAGAAGCUUUAUCCCUCUUAAUUUCAGAUUAUACUGAAAAUCAUUGACAGAACUGGCAUUGACAUAAGUGGGAGAGCUCUCCUGGCAAUCAUCUGAUACUAUAAAACUUGAGUACUAAAGCAUUUUGAAGGCAGUGGAGAAAGUCUACACACCUAGUCACAAAAUCUUUCCUGUAUAAAUUUCUUGUAAACAUAUGGUUCCUGUGCUUCCAUGUUUGUGAUUUUUCCAUCGACUCCAGAGGAUGGAUGAAUCAAGAUAUGAAGACAGAUUUUGAAAAAAAAAAAACAGGUAUAGCAGAUCCUUCACAGAUGCUUCUCAAUCAUUACUUCUUCUUUUCUUUUUUCUGUUAGAAAAAUAAUUUAAAUUAAACAGAUUUGUUAUGUGCAGGCUAGUGUUUCCAUGUGAGCUUGAACACUUUGUUCAAGAGCUAGGAGGCCAGCCAACUGCUUUAGUUCCUUAAAGAAUAACAGAUGUGUCCUUCCAAGUCUCAUGCUAAUGGAAUUUAGGCUGUGGUUAGGAAUUUAAAAAUGCUCUCAGUUGUCUGCAGAUUCUGUUUCAACCCUGUUCUUUUGGUUAGCUGGUUUCAGGCUUCUCUUUCCACAUCAUUCAGAAACAUUGCUUGAAAUGUCAAGUAGAGCUGAAGACACUAGUAUUUUACUUAUCUUGACUGAAAACAAAUAGUUAAAAGUAAAAGUCUAUUGGGUUCAGUUAUAUAGGAAAUUGUAUCUCCCAGUCUGACUUUGUAACUACUAUAUUUAAUAAACUCCG
rnacentral:lncRNA from 1 species